AAUAAUUUUUCACUGAAAAUACAAUUUUUUUUUAUAUCAAAACAAGUUUUAUCAAUGAAGAAUUCGAACUUUUUACGUCAUCAAUUAAAUUGGACUAAUAUUACAAUAACAUCGGGAUCGAAGUCGGGCUCGAUGAACAAUUAAUUUUAACAACACCGAAAUUCAAAAAUAUCGAAUACCAUGUUGAUGUUCCACAGUAGGAAAGUUGGAAUGAGUGUCACGAACAGGGGGAUCAUGGUCAGCUUGGGAUGGAAGAAGAUGACGACAUUUUUAAGACCGGAAUCCGGAUGCUCACAAGAGUUAGGACAAGAACUGUAUAAAAAAAAUGAAAUUGUGCAAGGGAAGUUUGAAGUGUCUGUUUGAAUGAUCAACAUCGAACUUGCUGAGCCUUCGUACUAAAAGUGAAUCCGUUGGUGAUGCCAAAUAUCUGUCAACCCUCUAUUGCAAAUUUCAUGGGAUAUCUGUGAGGAUGUGAUUCUAGCAACAUGUCAGAAGUUUUGUAUCUUCCAUAAUUGGGAUCUUUGGCACGUACAUUGGUGGAAAAUAGCAACUGUUCAUUUUUAUGGGAUCUUUGUAUCAAUGUAGUUGUGUACUACAUAUAUUUUUGCAUUUAAUACAUGUGUUUGUCACUCUAGUCACUAAUUUUGUACAGUAAAUGUACAUGGGCCACUGGCACUUUAUUGUAAAUGUAUAUCCUGUUGAGGUUUCAAUGACCUCUCCCAAUCCUUGGCCAAUGUCAUUUAAUGAAUCUAACCUCUUAUUUAAAAAAAAAUGCAUACUUUAGUUUACUGCAUUACAUGUAUAUCAUAACUUGAUUAUCAUUAAUUUAACCAAGGUGAUCCCCCAGUAAUCUUAUUUUUUCUUGGAUAUAUCUGUUAAUAACCUUUGAUGUAAAAUACUUUGCAGUUUCAUUGAGAAUACAUACAUUUUAAAAAGUGUGCUUAUAUUGUACAUCUGA